rnacentral:rRNA from 1 species
CACGUAGGGGGGCAAGCGUUGUCCGGAUUUAUUGGGCGUAAAGGGCUCGUAGGCGGUUCGGUAAGUUGGGUGUGAAACCUCCAGGCUCAACCUGGAGACGCCACCCGAUACUGCUGUGACUAGAGUCCGGUAGGGGAGCGUGGAAUUCCUGGUGUAGCGGUGAAAUGCGCAGAUAUCAGGAGGAACACCAGCGGCGAAGGCGGCGCUCUGGGCCGGAACUGACGCUGAGGAGCGAAAGCGUGGGUAGCAAACAGG